rnacentral:tRNA from 1 species
GGACCUUUAGCACAGCUGGUCAGAGCAGCCGGCUCAUAACCGGACGGUCCCGGGUUCGAAUCCCGGAAGGUCCA